GUGCUGUAAUGUAUAUGUGAUCAAUAAAGACUCAUUAUCAUUAAGGAAGAAUUAAAGUGGAAGAUUUAUACGAGGCUAGGCUAACUAUGCUAACAGGCUGAGCACAAACAAGAGCACCAGGAGUCCCAUUCUGUGCUAUAAUGUGAUGUUGAUCACCCUUAAAGUUAGCCUUUAACAUUGCACACAUUUUGUAACAUUUUAUUUAAUAAGUUCAAGAGUUUCUUUAACACUGAUUUAUUUAAUCUUCAUAUAAGAUGUAAGGGAAUAUAUUUGUUUAAAUUCUAUUUUGUUUUUGACUGUUAACGCUAAAAUUAUUUGUUGUCUGACUUAAUCAAGUGGGUAAAUAAAAUAAAAAACUAACUUUUUUUCUACUGUUCUUUGUUUAAAAAAAUAUUCAAAUUGAUCAAUAAUUAUCAAUACCGAAUGAUAUGAAACAUUAUAUAGUGAUAAUUUUUUUUUGCUGUAUCGUCCAGCCCUAACUACACCACAUUAAUAUUACUGAUACUUUCAUAUACAACGAUACUACAAGUACUAUGAUACACCAUUAUUUUGAUACAAUGAGACAAUAUAAUGACACAUGGAUACUACAGAUACUCUGCUACAUCAUCGCACCAAUACAAUGAUACUCUGAUACACUGGAUUGAUUCGCUAAAACUACAACACACCGAUACUAUAGACACUCUAAUCAAUCAAUACACCAACGAUUCAACACAAUGACACACUGAUACACCAAUACUACCAGUACUCUGAUACAUCGAUACAGUGAUAUUAUGAGACAUGGAUACUACAGAUACCCCGCUACAUCAUCACACCGAUACAAUGAUACUCUGAUAUACUGGUUUGAUUCACUAAUACUACAACUCACUGAAACUACGGAUACUCUGCUACAUCAAUACACCACCACUUCAACUCUUAUACUGGAUCAAUACAUAAAUACUACACCACACUAAUACUACAGAUCAUUUGAUAUGCACAGACACUACAGAUAAUCUGAUAGACCGAAACAAUACUAUGGCGCAUGGAUACUACAAAUACUCUGCUACAUCAACAAACCGAUACAAUGAUAAUCUGACAUACUGGUUUGAUUCACUAGUACUACAACACACAGCUACUACGGGCAUUCCGAUACAUCGAUACACCAACACUUCAACACAAUACAGCAAUACUACACUACAUUAAUAUUACUGAUACUUUCAUAUACACCGAUACUACAAGUACUCUGAUACACUGAUACGUCAAUACAGUGAUAUGACACAUGGAUAAUACAAAUACUCUGCCACAUCAACACACCGAUACAAUGAUACUCUGAUAUAUUGGUUUGCUUCACUAGUACUACAACACACUAAUACUACAGAUCCUUUGAUAUGCACAGAUACUAUAAAUAAUCUGAUACACCAAAACAGUACUAUGGUGCACGGAUACUACAGAUACUCUGCUACAUCAACACACCGAUACAAUGAUACUCUGAUACACUGGUUUGAUUCACUAGUACUACUACUGCACUACAGUGAAACACUACAGCUAGUUCACC
ensembl:lncRNA